UGGUUCAGAGAAUCCUCAAACACAACAUGGACUUUGGGAAAUGCCCCAGGCUCCGUCUCUUUACUCAGGAGUAUAUUUUGGCUCUGAAUGAGCUUAACGCUGGCAUGGAAGUGGUCAAGAAGUUUAUUCACAGCAUGCACGGUCCCACCGGACAGUGCC